rnacentral:rRNA from 1 species
AGUGAACGCUGGCGGUAGGCCUAACACAUGCAAGUCGAACGGCAGCACAGUAAGAGCUUGCUCUUACGGGUGGCGAGUGGCGGACGGGUGAGGAAUACAUCGGAAUCUACUUUUUCGUGGGGGAUAACGUAGGGAAACUUACGCUAAUACCGCAUACGACCUACGGGUGAAAGCAGGGGAUCUUCGGACCUUGCGCGAUUGAAUGAGCCGAUGUCGGAUUAGCUAGUUGGCGGGGUAAAGGCCCACCAAGGCGACGAUCCGUAGCUGGUCUGAGAGGAUGAUCAGCCGCACUGGAACGGGGACACGGUCCAGACUCCUACGGGAGGGAGCAGUGGGGAAUAUUGGACAAUGGGCGCAAGCCUGAUCCAGCCAUACCGCGUGGGUGAAGAAGGCCUUCGGGUUGUAAAGCCCUUUUGUUGGGAAAGAAAAGCAGCAGGUUAAUACCCCGCUGUUCUGACGGUACCCAAAGAAUAAGCACCGGCUAACUUCGUG